rnacentral:rRNA from 1 species
UACGAAGGGUGCUAGCGUUGCUCGGAAUCACUGGGCGUAAAGCGCACGUAGGCGGCUCUUUAAGUCAGGGGUGAAAUCCCAAGGCUCAACCUUGGAACUGCCUUUGAUACUGGGGAUCUCGAGUCCGGAAGAGGUGAGUGGAACUGCGAGUGUAGAGGUGAAAUUCGUAGAUAUUCGCAAGAACACCAGUGGCGAAGGCGGCUCACUGGUCCGGUACUGACGCUGAGGUGCGAAAGCGUGGGGAGCAAACAGG